rnacentral:snRNA from 1 species
GUGCUCGCUUCGACAGCACAUAUACCAAA